rnacentral:rRNA from 1 species
AGUGAACGCUGGCGGUAGGCCUAACACAUGCAAGUCGAACGGCAGCACAUUAAGCGCUUGCUCUUACGGGUGGCGAGUGGCGGACGGGUGAGGCAUACAUCGGCAUCUACUUUUUCGUGGGGGAUAACGUAGGGCAACUUAUGCUAAUACCUAAUACGACCUACGGGUGAAAUCAGGGGAUCUUCAUACAUUGCGCGCUUUCAUGGAUCGACGUCCGAUUUGUUAGUUGGCUGGUGAAAGGCCCACCAAGGCGACGGUCCGUACCUGGUCUGAGAGGAUGAUCAGCCACACGGGAACGGAGACACGGUCCAGACUCCAACGGGAGGAAGCAGUGGGGAAUAUUGGACAAGGAGCGCAAGCCUGAUCCAGCCAGACCGCGUGGGUGAAGAAGGCCUUCGGGUUGUAAAGCCCUUUUGUUGGGAAGGAAAAGCAGCAGGUUAAAACCCCGAUGUUCUGACGGUACCCAAAGAAUAAGCAACGGCUAACUUCGUG